GGACUACCGGGGUAUCUAAUCCCGUUUGCUACCCUAGCUUUCGUGCAUCAGCGUCAGAAGAGACCCAGUAAGCCGCUUUCGCCACCGGUGUUCCUGAGGAUAUCAACGCAUUUCACCGCUCCACCCUCAGUUCCGCUUACCUCUGUCUCCCUCAAGCACGGUAGUUUUGAACGCAGUUCCUCAGUUAAGCUGAGGUAUUUCACGCCCAACUUUCCGCACAGCCUACGCACCCUUUAAGCCCAGUAAUUCCGAAUAACGUUCGUACGGUUCGUCUUACCGCGGCUGCUGGCAC
rnacentral:rRNA from 3 species